rnacentral:rRNA from 1 species
GUGAGGAAUAUUGGUCAAUGGGCGAGAGCCUGAACCAGCCAAGUCGCGUGAAGGAAGAAGGAUCUAUGGUUCGUAAACUUCUUUUGCAGGGGAAUAAAGUGCAGGACGUGUCCUGUUUUGUAUGUACCCUGAGAAUAAGGAUCGGCUAACUCCGUGCCAGCAGCCGCGGUAAUACGGAGGAUCCGAGCGUUAUCCGGAUUUAUUGGGUUUAAAGGGUGCGUAGGUGGUUUGAUAAGUCAGCGGUGAAAGUUUGCAGCUUAACUGUAAAAAUUCCGUUGAAACUGUCGGACUUGAGUGUAAAUGAGGUAGGCGGAAUGCGUGGUGUAGCGGUGAAAUGCAUAGAUAUCACGCAGAACUCCGAUUGCGAAGGCAGCUUACUAAGCUACAACUGACACUGAAGCACGAAAGCGUGGGGAUCAAACAGGAUUAGAAACCCCUGUAGUCC